CUUCUCGAUAGUGUGGCUACAGGGGGAUCAGACUGAGGAAGAAAGCAGCGUGUUUACACCUGGAUAUGUGCUGCGGUUCAUUGAGCUCUGCGGAGCACGGACACGGACAAGAACCCAGGGACAUGAUGGAGGAGUCCUGUCACUUCAUUUGGAUUAAUGGACAGUUCGUAUCUCCUGUCCUUUGAAGGUCUUCAGAGCUAGUCCUAUGGAAAUGGUUACCGAUGCUGUCAUGCUGAAGGGUAUACGAUAGGACUUCCUUUUUUCUGUCAUUGGAGAAACAUUUAACUUUUUCGUUUUUGUAGUUUUACAUGAAUGAUUGAGCUAUUGUAGGUUUUGGAUGUUGAAUAUGAGAUGCGUGUUAAAAUAAAAUUAAAAAAGUGGACAUUUUGGGGGCCUUUGUGACACUGUUAUGGAUGGGACAGAGGUGACAGGAAAGAAUGAGGAGCAUAGGGGGGAUGUGAUGAGGAAAUGAC
rnacentral:lncRNA from 1 species